GAAAAAAGACCUGUCCUUUAAGAAAUUCAGUGUUUGCCUCAUCUAUGGAUGAAUAAGCACUUCUUGACCUGAGAUUCAGGAGAGAAGACAUGGCAUGGGAUCCAGGCCAGGGACUUGGCUCUGAGACACCGCUGCGUCAGGAGAUCUUGCAGAGCCUGCUAGAAGCCACAGGUCUGUAGAUAUGAUGCAGUGCUUUACAGUUUGGCAUCCUGACUAAUGGUUCACCAAAACCAGGGAUCUUAUCAGAAAGGAGACUGCAAGCAGUGCUUACAGGGCCAGUUUAACUCAUUUGAUCGUUGCGCAGUAC
ensembl:lncRNA